UACAGAGGGGGCAAGCGUUAUUCGGAAUUAUUGGGCGUAAAGGGCGCGUAGGCGGCUUCGCAAGUGGUGGGUGAAAUCCCUCGGCUUAACCGAGGAACUGCCCUCCAAACUGCGUUGCUUGAGUCCGGGAGAGGUGAGUGGAAUUCCCAGUGUAGAGGUGAAAUUCGUAGAUAUUCGCAAGAACACCAGUGGCGAAGGCGGCUCACUGGCCCGGUACUGACGCUGAGGUGCGAAAGCCAGGGGAGCAAACGGG
rnacentral:rRNA from 1 species